AAACGUUCAACGUUGAGCUGGAUAUCUUUUAUACGAGGAAUGGAGUCCUGAGAAUCAAUCUUCUUAGGGAUGGGAUCAAAAGUGCCGAUGGUUUCGAUAGGUUUGGCUUGAGGUGCUUUCCUAUAUUGAGUUAACAAAGUCGAACCAAAAGACAGGAAUGGAUGAAGGAGAAAAAAAAGGAUGUACAGGUGAUAUGUAAACAGUUAAUAGAGGCCAAGGGGGCCAAACCACAAUAAAUAGUCAAUUAAUAAGAAAAAUUGUGGUUGGUGUCCUUGGCAUUUUGAAUACUAUGUAGAAAGACUAGAUUAAAUAGAUGAGAGCAUCCAGGAAUACCUGAAAACUAAAGCUUCUAAAAAAGAUCGCAAUUUAGAGCCAAAGGAACCGUCAAAAAAAAGCAGUCUUUUAGCAUUUUAUCUUCCAUUCUUUCAUAACCCACAUCAAGCCAUCUCCCUUACUAAAUCCUGUACAAAAACUUUCCCCUUUACGUGAACCGCUACAAGUGUUGUAAAACACGAAACAACCGUCUAGGUAUGUUUUCAUCCUACUUACCAUGCAUUCGCAACUACGAUAUGGUAAAAAGGUCUAUUUCUGACGCCAUGACGCGCCAAACGAAUUUUUACUACCAUUGAGAAGAGCCGGUUUUCAACGAGUCCUACAAAUCCCGUCUUUCCCACUUGGUGGUAGGAGUAUGGUUAAGAGCAACUUGAGUAAACACGAAGACAAUGCAGGUAUCAAGGAUGGAAAGCAGAUGGACGUAUCGUAUUGUGCACUCCG